GACGAACGCUGGCGGCGUGCUUAACACAUGCAAGUCGAACGGAAAGGCCCUGCUUUUGUGGGGUGCUCGAGUGGCGAACGGGUGAGUAACACGUGAGUAACCUGCCCUUGACUUUGGGAUAACUUCAGGAAACUGGGGCUAAUACCGGAUAGGAGCUCCUGCUGCAUGGUGGGGGUUGGAAAGUUUCGGCGGUUGGGGAUGGACUCGCGGCUUAUCAGCUUGUUGGUGGGGUAGUGGCUUACCAAGGCUUUGACGGGUAGCCGGCCUGAGAGGGUGACCGGCCACAUUGGGACUGAGAUACGGCCCAGACUCCUACGGGAAGCAGCAGUGGGGAAUAUUGCACAAUGGGCGGAAGCCUGAUGCAGCAACGCCGCGUGCGGGAUGACGGCCUUCGGGUUGUAAACCGCUUUCGCCUGUGACGAAGCGUGAGUGACGGUAAUGGGUAAAGAAGCACCGGCUGACUACGUG
rnacentral:rRNA from 1 species